rnacentral:rRNA from 1 species
GACGAACGCUGGCGGCGUGCCUAAUACAUGCAAGUCGAGCGGAGUUGAAAAAAAGUUUACUUUUUUUCCUCUCAGCGGCGGACGGGUGAGUAACACGUGGGCAACCUGCCCUGUAGACUGGGAUAACUUCGGGAAACCGAAGCUAAUACCGGAUAAUCAUAGAAGUUGCAUAGCUUCUAUGUAAAAGUUGGGUUUACCUAACACUACAGGAUGGGCCCGCGUCGCAUUAGCUAGUUGGUAAGGUAACGGCUUACCAAGGCGACGAUGCGUAGCCGACCUGAGAGGGUGAUCGGCCACACUGGGACUGAGACACGGCCCAGACUCCUACGGGAGGCAGCAGUAGGGAAUCUUCCGCAAUGGACGAAAGUCUGACGGAGCAACGCCGCGUGAGCGAUGAAGGCCUUCGGGUCGUAAAGCUCUGUUGUUAGGGAAGAACAAGUGCUAUUCGAAUAGGGUGGCACCUUGACGUACCUAACGAGAAGC